AACUCUCUUGCACCUAGGAAGUAUCUUCAUCCAGAAGGAGUUCUCAGUCCUUUUUCUGAUUUUAACACUGCAGUCAACUGCAGACAAAGCCGCAAUCUUGUGACUUCACAGAGCCUCAUGGGCUUUUGAGUUGACCAACUUGAGAAAAAUUUCUGACUUGAUGCAUGAAAUGAAACGAAGGCAGGUGACACAUAAAGGAAAUGACAAGACACGAUUGAAAACUAUUGACCCUCAAGUUAUCACAAAUGGUUAUGAAAUGGAAAUGGAAUGGGAAGGAGUAUGAAAAAAUAAGCUGAAUACUGACAAACCUAAGGUACCCCAAAGUCUAUGGAAACUCCAAUUUAACGAGGGGAUGAAUAAGAAAUUUACUUCUCAACAAACAACAAAUAAUGGUUUAUAACCAUGGAAGCAUUCUGAGAGAAGUAAAUAUGUCAUCGAUUUUAAAUAGCAGUGUUAUCCAGCAGAGAGCAGAUCAAUGAAAGUUGCAUAGGUUUUCACAUGCUUCAGGAUAUUAAAGAACAAUCCCAUUUCCCCCCUCUAUAAACCAUUCCAUCCAGAAGAGUAAUUUUAAAUGUGCUAUAAAUCAUUAUCUGUUCAACAACCAAUCUGCAUUCAGAAAAGUUAUAUCCAUUCCUAUUCUUCUUCCUUGGAACAAUUUAAAAUGCUCUCAUUUUUUGCUAACCUGUAGGCCUGCUUUGGGUCUUCUGACUGGAUAUGUGGUAAAAAAAAAAUAAGUUAUUUCUCAAAUUUAAUAUAACAAAUACUAGGAGAGAAAACUGAUGUAUUUUCUUUAGAAAAAGUACUCAAUGAUUAUCAGUUGGGCAAUGUUUAUUACAGCCUUGUAAAUGGGUCGAUAAGAUUUAUUGCUGUUUCAAAGAUAGAGUGAACAAUAUCUAGAUAAUUACAAAGAUUUGCUUCAUCUACACAAAGGUAGAGUGAUGAAGAAUCAUAAUGAAUAAAGACUAAGAUUUUCAUCAACUA